GCUCCUGUGGCCUAAUAGAUAAGGCGUUGGCCUCCUUUGCCAUAGAUUGUGGGUUCGAGUCAUACCAGGAGCU